AUGGCCCCGCCGUCGUCUUCUCCUCCCCUUCCGGCAUGGGCGGCGGCGAACGCCCUCUUCCGACGCCACCGCCGCCUUCUCCCGCUCCUCCUUCCUCCGGCCUCCCUCUGCGCCCUCCUACCCGUCCUCUCCCACUGCCUCGUUUCCGGCCUCGCCGGCAACCCCUUCGUCGCCUCCCGCCUCAUCCUCGCCUCCUCGCGCCUCUCCCUCACAUUCUCCCUCCUCCUCCUCUCCCACCUUCCAGCCUCCUCCCUCUCGCCCUUCUCCUUCAACUCGCUCAUACGCGCGUCGCCUCCAAGCCUCGCCCUCCGCCUGUUCGAACAAAUGCGGCGCCGAGGCGUUCCCACGGAUAACUACACCCUCCCCUUCUUGAUCCAUGCCUGUUCCGGCAGUGACACUCCACUGGGACAGUCCCUGCACGGGAAGAGCGUCCGUCUUGGUUACAGCUCCCACGUCUUCACGCAGACGGCGCUGAUGAACAUGUACUUUGGGUGUGGCCUGGCUGUUCCCGCCGGCAGGGUGUUCGAUGAAAUGCAGGCCAGGGAUCUGGUUGCAUGGACCGGCAUGGUCUCUGGUUAUGUGGACUCUGGAAUGCACCUUCGAGCUGCUGAGGUCUUUAAGGAAAUGAGGGGUAGUGAGGAGGUUGCAAGGCCUAACGUGGCAACGUUGGUGUCGGUUGCUUCUGCCGGUGCUGGUCUUGGCUCCCUGGAGUAUGCUAAGGGGCUGCACGGCUACGUGGAGAAGGUGGGGUUGCGAGGCGAUUUGAUUGUGACGAAUGCACUGAUGGAUAUGUAUGGAAAGUGUGGUAGCAUAGAGUCAGCUCGUGCUCUGUUUGAUUUCAUGCAUGAGAAGGACCUACUUUCAUGGACAACCAUGAUUUCAGGGUUGGCUUCUCAUGGACAUGGCAACGAAGCGGUUGCUUUGUUUUUAAGCAUGCGAGAGGUGGGAGUACUGCCGGAUUCAACCACCUUCAUUGUGGUUCUGUCUGCUUGUAGCCAUGCUGGACUGGUGGAUGAGGGGAUAUCAAUCUUCAAUUCCAUGUCGAGUGAAUACAGGGUCAACCCAGAUAUUAAGCAUUAUGGUUGCAUGGUGGAUCUUUUCAGCAGGGCAGGGCUUCUUUCACGUGCUUAUGAGCUUAUUGACAACAUGCCUUUUGAACCAAACUUGGCAAUUCUUGGAGCAUUGCUGAGUGCAUGCAGUGUCAAUAAUGAUCUGGAGAUUGGGGAACUAGUUCUCCAGAAGAUUGAUUCUGUUUGUUCCUAUAAAGGAGGUGCUGGUGUGCUUCUGUCCAACAUCUACGCUAACCAGAACUUAUGGCAUGAAGUUGAUUCCAUUAGAAGGAAGAUAAGAAAUGGUACCAUACCCAGAAAGCCACCUGGUCAGAGUUCGGUGGCAUCAGAAGUUCCUUUCAUGAGUUUGUAA
rnacentral:rRNA from 1 species